rnacentral:piRNA from 1 species
UCCAAACAGCAAAGCAGCAGGUUCCAG